rnacentral:rRNA from 1 species
GAUGAACGCUGGCGGCGUGCCUAAUACAUGCAAGUCGAGCGAACAGACGAGGAGCUUGCUCCUCUGACGUUAGCGGCGGACGGGUGAGUAACACGUGGAUAACCUACCUAUAAAACUGGGAUAACUUCGGGAAACCGGAGCUAAUACCGGAUAAUAUAUUGAACCGCAUGGUUCAAUAGUGAAAGACGGUUUUGCUGUCACUUAUAGAUGGAUCCGCGCCGCAUUAGCUAGUUGGUAAGGUAACGGCUUACCAAGGCAACGAUGCGUAGCCGACCUGAGAGGGUGAUCGGUCACACUGGAACUGAGACACGGUCCAGACUCCUACGGGAGGCAGCAGUAGGGAAUAUUCCGCAAUGGGCGAAAGCCUGACGGAGCAACGCCGCGUGAGUGAUGAAGGUCUUCGGAUCGUAAAACUCUGUUAUUAGGGAAGAACAAAUGUGUAAGUAACUAUGCACGUCUUGACGGUACCUAAUCAGAAAGCCACGGCUAACUACGUG